rnacentral:rRNA from 1 species
GACGAACGCUGGCGGCGUGCCUAAUACAUGCAAGUUGAGCGCUGAAGGUUGGUACUUGUACCAACUGGAUGAGCAGCGAACGGGUGAGUAACGCGUGGGGAAUCUGCCUUUGAGCGGGGGACAACAUUUGGAAACGAAUGCUAAUACCGCAUAAAAACUUUAAACACAAGUUUUAAGUUUGAAAGAUGCAAUUGCAUCACUCAAAGAUGAUCCCGCGUUGUAUUAGCUAGUUGGUGAGGUAAAGGCUCACCAAGGCGAUGAUACAUAGCCGACCUGAGAGGGUGAUCGGCCACAUUGGGACUGAGACACGGCCCAAACUCCUACGGGAGGCAGCAGUAGGGAAUCUUCGGCAAUGGACGAAAGUCUGACCGAGCAACGCCGCGUGAGUGAAGAAGGUUUUCGGAUCGUAAAACUCUGUUGGUAGAGAAGAACGUUGGUGAGAGUGGAAAGCUCAUCAAGGGACGGAACUACCC